GUACUCGCUUCGGCAGUACAUAUACUAAAAUUGGAACGAUACAGAGAAGAUUAGCAUGGCCCCUGCGCAAAUUAUAUACAUUAUUCUACAUUUAAAUUGCUU